CCUUUUCUUUCACUGGACCUG
rnacentral:siRNA from 1 species